UCUUUUGAUUCACCAGGAGCGUGAGUGAAUCAAGAAAUGACGGUGGGUAUAAACACCAAUAUCUAUAAAACCGCUGAAGAUCAUGUGAGUUUAAGGCCCUCGAUUCUGUAUUCCAGUGGGUAGCGUGUGAGAGAGAGAGAGAGAGAGAGAGAGAGAGCGAGAGCAUACCUUUCUCAAAUACCUCUAUGCCUUACUUCAUGCAAUCCGAUGAUCAACUGCCGGUGUUAUUCAAGAGUGUAAGCGCAUGAGGUUCUUCGAAAAUAAGUAGGAGGAGAAGCGGAGGAUGCAGGAGGCCACUAAGCGCAACAAAAGGAGCACUAGGGCUACUCCAGUCUCCAUGUUCUGUUCCCCUAAAAACCUAGCCGCCGUGUAGGGAUCAGCUGCGUCUUUCGUGGAGUACAAAGUUCAUAUACUUCAUGUAGAAUGGGGAAAAGUUCAAUCUAGCAAUCACUAUGCAUGACAUUAUGUGGGUGCCCCCAAUUAAGAACUCCACCAGAGAGCAAGCCGGAAGCCACAACAAACAAGAAGGAAGAUGAUGAGGAUAAUUGGGAUCUGCCUGAAGAGGGAGACAUCCCCUAUUAACUGCAUUCAACGUGCCUUCAAUUUAGAAAACUCUUCACCUUUUGAGUGCAAGAAACUCUUGGUAUCGGUAAAAAAGAAAAAAAAAAAAAAGGUUAUCCUAAUGAAAAAAUCUAUUUGUAACUUUUUUUUUACACAGUACUCAACACAUCAUUUAUGUAAAAAGU